rnacentral:misc_RNA from 1 species
AAAAUGCGAUAAGUAAUGUGAAUUCAGAAUUCAGUGAAUCAUCGAAUCUUUGAACGCACAUUGCGCCCGCCAGUAUUCUGGCGGGCAUGCCUGUUCGAGCGUCAUUUCAACCCUCAAGCUCAGCUUGGUGUUGGGACUCGCGGUAACCCGCGUUCCCCAAAUCGAUUGGCGGUCACGUCGAGCUUCCAUAGCGUAGUAAUCAUACACCUCGUUACUGGUAAUCGUCGCGGCCACGCCGUAAAACCCCAACUUCUGAAUGUUUACCUCGGAUCAGGUAGGAAUACCCGCUGAACUUAAGC